rnacentral:lncRNA from 1 species
UUGACGAUUUAUUCAAAAUCGACCAGAUGACCCUAAAAAGGGUAAAUUGGUUAAAUGACCCUAAAAAGGGUAAAUUGGUCAAAUGAAUUGAUGAUUUAUUGAAUGAAUCGGCAAAAUGGAUUGGUUGAAUUGUCCGGCCAUUGGUUAUUUCAAAAUUAUUGAAGUGCAUUAGUCUAUGACCUUCUAAAAAUCAAAUUUUGGCCUCAAUUUAUUUAUCGUCUCAAAAGGAGGAAUCAUUUGUGAAUUUCUUCAAAUUAAUGUCCUUCACGCAAGGGAUUUUUA